AUUGAACGCUGGCGGCAGGCCUAACACAUGCAAGUCGAGCGGAUGAAGGGAGCUUGCUCCUGGAUUCAGCGGCGGACGGGUGAGUAAUGCCUAGGAAUCUGCCUGGUAGUGGGGGAUAACGUCCGGAAACGGGCGCUAAUACCGCAUACGUCCUGCGGGAGCAAGUGGGGGAUCUUCGGACCUCACGCUAUCAGAUGAGCCUAGGUCGGAUUAGCUAGGUGGUGGGGUAAAGGCCUACCAAGGCGACGAUCCGUAACUGGUCUGAGAGGAUGAUCAGUCACACUGGAACUGAGACACGGUCCAGACUCCUACGGGAGGCAGCAGUGGGGAAUAUUGGACAAUGGGCGAAAGCCUGAUCCAGCCAUGCCGCGUGUGUGAAGAAGGUCUUCGGAUUGUAAAGCACUUUAAGUUGGGAGGAAGGGCAGUAAGUUAAUACCUUGCUGUUUUGACGUUACCAACAGAAUAAGCACCGGCUAACUUCGUG
rnacentral:rRNA from 1 species